AUUAAAGUUGUUGCGGUUAAAAAGCUCGUAGUUGGACUUGAGGGAUUUAUAUAAAAGGAUUCUUGUUUUAAAGCAAGAUAUCUUUAUAUGUUUUUUCCUUUCUUUUUAUUUUCUUUUAGGAGGAGUGGAGGCAACGAAGCUUCUCUGUGGGAAUAGAUAGUUUACUUUGAAAAAAUUAGAGUGUUUAAAGCAGACAUGACAUGUACAAUUGAAUAUUACAGCAUGGGAUAAUAGAAUAGGACAUUAACCUUAAUUUUGUUGGUUUUGAAGGUUAAUAGUAAUGAUUAAAAGGGAUAGUUGGGGUCACUUGUAUUUGAUCGCUAGGGGUGAAAUCCUAUGAUUGCUCAAAGACAAACUACUGCGAAAGCAUUUGACAAGGAUGUUUUCAUUGAUCAAGAACGAAAGUUAGGGGAUCGAAGAUGAUUAGAUACCGUCGUAGUCUUAACCAUAAGCAAUGUCGACUUUGGAUUAGGAAAUAUUACAUGGAUGAUUUUCCUAGCACAAUAUGAGAAAUCAUAAGUAUUCAGACUCCGGGGGGAGUAUGGUCGCAAGAGUGAAACUUAAAGGAAUUGACGGAAGGGCACCACCAGGAGUGGAACCUGCGGCUUAAUUUGACACAACACGGGGAAACUUACCGGGUCCGGACACUUUGAGGAUUGACAGAUUGAUAGCUCUUUCUUGAUUAAGUGGGUGGUGGUGCAUGGCCGUUUUUAGUUGGUGGAUUGAUUUGUUUGGUUAAUUCCGAAAACGAACGAGACCUUAACCUAUUAAAUAGUAUAAUUAAAAUUGAAUACAAAUUCUUGAAAUUUGAAAAAAAGAAAUGGAUACUUCUUAAAGGGACUCUUCAUAUUUUAGUGAAUGGAAGUUUAAGGCAAAAACAGGUCUGUGAUGCCCUUAGAUGUUCCGGGCUGCACGCGCGUUACACUGAUGCGAUCAAAAAGUUUAAUUUAAAUUUCCUUAUUUGAAAAGAUUGGGUAAACUCAGAAAUCGUAUCGUGAUUGGGAUAGUGCUUUGUAAUUAUCGCACUUGAACGAGGAAUUCCUAGUAGGUGCAAGUCAUCAUCUUGCUCCGAUUACGUCCCCGCCCUUUGUACACACCGCCCGUCGCUCCUACCGAUUGAAUAAUCCGAUGAGGAUUCAAGAUAGAGAUUUCUUAUUUGUCUGAAAGGAUAAAAAAGAAUUUUUUUAGAAUUUGUUCAAAUCUUAUUAUUUAGAGGAAGGAGAAGUCGUAACAAGGUUUCCGUUGGUGAACCAGCGGAAG
rnacentral:rRNA from 1 species